rnacentral:rRNA from 1 species
AAACAUCAAUGCGGCUUCGCAGCAGGAGUUGGAGGCGCUGCCGGGCAUAGGCCCUGCGAAGGCGAAGGCCAUUGCGGAAUACC